AAAUAGGUAAUUGACACUAAAUCCAAUUUCUUCCACUCUUUAUAUAUCUUGAUAUUCCGCACUCAAUUUUUCUUUUAUUCUAUCAAUUAUACUUUAAUAGCUUAAAUUUUGAGCAACACUUAUAUCAUCUAAUACUUCUUUCCAUUUUUCAUAAAGUAUAAUUCCUCCUGAAAAUUAAUAUUAUAUGCUAAGAUAAUAAUAUCCUUGUUAAAGGAAAUAGCAUCAUCUCUAUCUAGGCCCUGUGUAUUCGAGCUAUAGACUGAAAAUUCAACUGCAAAAGAUGUAACUGAGUCAUCAAGUAAUAUGAGCUUUUCUUCCGCAACAUGAGCAUAUCCUUCAGCACUUUGCUGACCUCUUGUAAGACCAUUUAAUUUAAUUUAUUUUCACCUAUUAAUUCACUACUCUUAAUAGUAUCAUUUCUCUUCCUAUCAGUACCAUU